rnacentral:rRNA from 1 species
AACGAACGCUGGCGGCAUGCCUAACACAUGCAAGUCGAACGAACCCUUCGGGGUUAGUGGCGCACGGGUGCGUAACGCGUGGGAAUCUGCCCUUUGCUACGGAAUAACUCAGGGAAACUUGUGCUAAUACCGGAUGAUGUCUUCGGACCAAAGAUUUAUCGGCAAGGGAUGAGCCCGCGUAGGAUUAGGUAGUUGGUGUGGUAAAGGCCUACCAAGCCGACGAACCUUAGCUGGUCUGAGAGGAUGAUCAGCCACACUGGGACUGAGACACGGCCCAGACUCCUACGAGAGGCAGCAGUGGGGAAUAUUGGACAAUGGGCGCAAGCCUGAUCCAGCAAUGCCGCGUGAGUGAUGAAGGCCCUCGGGUCGGAAAGCUCUUUUACCAGGGAUGAUAAUGACAGUACCUGGAGAAUAAGCUCCGGCUAACUCCGUG